rnacentral:lncRNA from 1 species
CCAGGGAUGGAACCACAUCCUUGUGGAUACUAGUCAGGCUCGUUAACUGCUGAGCCAUGAAGGGAACUCCCUAUUUCUUCACUUUUGAAGGCAGGGAAAGAUCAUCUAGUCUUAAGCUCAGGAAGGUGUUUAUUGGCAUCAUAUUAACCCUUUAGUGACAUAUAGUUCACUGAUAUCUUUAUAUUUGAGGAUAAGGCCUUGUGAAAAAUCAUACUCCCUUGCAGAUGUCUCAUUGUAUGUCUCGCAAGCAGAGAAAUUUGAAUGUUCAAUAUGCCAGGCUGUAUGCUUUCUUUUCUGUUAUUACAUUAUACUUCAGAUCCAUAUUUUUGUCUGGCUUGCUUAAAGACAUUUAGAAAUUUAUUGCAUUCAUCUUUUUCUUUUUCAUCCAAGGCAGCAUCCUCAAGAGGAACAGGACAGAAUAGUAAAUCCUAGAAACAGAGGAAUCCUAGGCUAGCAUCCUAGCUCUACCACUUAUGACUGGGUAUCAUCUAACUAGCCACAUAACUCUUUAAGCCUCAGACUUCCUUCUUGUAUAGGAAAAAAGACUUGUCUAGAUAUUAUGAUAACUUCCAGUUCUAAAAUAUUUUGUAAGAGAGAAAUCUUACUUUGUUAAAGACAAUAUGAAGUGUAACAGUAAAAGUCAAACAGUCAAGAACAUCUGCAAUCAGGGUAGGUAGCAGGCUGUGCCCAUGUGUUCUAAAAGCCUAGUCCUGACACCAGAGUUUUACACUGCAACAGCAUAAUCAUUCCUACCAGCAUGUUCCAUUAAAGCUUGACUUACUGCCAGGGAAUUCACCUGCUGACACAGUAAAACUCCUAACUGGAAGCAUUAACAUUGCAAUGUCAGAUGGGGAAAAAAAAAUGUUCAUAAAUUCCACGAACGUGCACUGCUUUACUUGAGGUCCUGGUUGCAAACUCAUUAUUUAUGCUGUGUACAGUAGGCCAUCAACAGAUCCCACUGGGAAAUUAGUUUGCAAUUUAGAAUCGUUUCAAAGUACAAGUGAUUCUCAAGUCAUUUUCCGAGGUUAAAUGAGAACUCUUAUUGCUUUCCGUGGGCUCAGAGGGAAUUUUUACUCUGUGUGUUCCCUCCUCCCCCAGCUCCUGCUACACUGUCUUGAUUUUUCUUUCUUAAAUGCGCUUUGGUGCUAAAUCUCUCUUUUUCAAUUUUUGAAAGCUGGUAAAUGGAAUGGUAUUUGUUGCAUUUUCUUGCUUGCUGGGACUCCUUAAGCACCUCACUUUUGAUUACUGCUUUUAUUCUUUGAAGACUCCUGAGAGGUUUCCCUGUGCUCUACCAACUACAUUGCUUAGCUAACAGAGGAGUGAUUUGGAAAGAUUGGCUGGCAUCCGCUUUAGGAUGCAGUGAAUCAGAGUCAUCAUCCCACUUCCCUUCCAGCUUCUCACUCUGGGGGGCCGUGCCAUGGGACAGGGCUCCAGGCGGGCAGACUAAGGGCACAAGGAAUGAGUCUUACAACUGCAGAAGAUGUGAACGGGAGGUUCAGUCUUGCUUAUGGGCUCAUGAGCCCACGGUAUAGAACAAACUGUUGAGAUAAAAAGUGUCCCACUGAUCCUUUCCGCCUUCACACACCCCUUGAUUCAAUUCAGAACAUCCUUAAGCAUAUUUUUAAGCUUUAUUUUACUGGUAAUUGUGUGUAUAUCUUCUCAAUCUUACCCCCAACCUAGGAGAACUGACCCUAAACCAUCUGGUAGAUAAUUUGUAACCUGAUAUUACCCUUGGAGAAUAAAGAGCAUUAUUUUAGUGUACCAUUGUACCCUUGAUCAUUCCCAGAAAGGAGCAAAUAAUCCAUAGUGUUAAGGUCUUUGAGGAAUUUUUUUUCUUUUCCUCCUUUCUCAAUAAGUUGCUGAAAUGCCAAAGCUGGUAUUAUUAGCUAUAAUGAAUAAACAUCAAAUAGAAAAUAAAUCAUUAAAUGACUCCCCUUCUCUGAUGAGAAACACUAGGGUUCAUUUGAAACCAAGAUUUCAACAUCUCUCUAAUGCAUUGGGAGAGUGUUUCCAUAGGCUCAGACCAGAAAGUAUACAAACCAAAGAGAUUGAGUGUUUAGUUUCAAAAUACAUGAAAUCACUAGUUUAAACAUAGAAACUACACACAAAGAGUGCAAAGACACAAUGAAAGCUGGAGAUCAACAGGGUAAAUAUCACCUAGAAAUACUAACAGUCUUAAAGGUCAGAAAUCCUUAGUUAAACAAAAAGACCCAUCCAUUAAAAACAAUCAAUUACAAGAUAACCUGAGAAUACCACACUAUGCAUUCCCUUUAAAAGCAGAUGUUGUUCUGCUAAGAGCUAUUAGCUAUGUGCUUUAGAGGUAAAUAGAUAGAGCAGGUAACAAACAGAGACUAAAACCCGAAGGAAAAGAAACCAAAAAUUAAGUGCAUUUGGAACUGCUUGAUAUUGAAUUUCUCAGGCACAGGGAAAAGGCUUUUGUCUCAUGGACAUCCAUCGCUACCUGUCAGCGCCUAGCUCUUUGGUAAUGCACAGAAAAAAACUUCACUAGUUACAAUAUUCUGAGUUAGUCUUUUUGGGUUGAAAUUGGCUUAAAACGUUUUCCUUGAUUAUAGAUAAUUCUUUUUCUACUAAUAUUUGAAUGUCAACAUGCUUUAAAAAUGAUCUUCCUUUCCUUCAAGAUUUGGAAGAGGUGGGUGUUGAUUUGGUUUUCUACUACUUUCUAUAGUUUUUUCUUUCUACAUGUAAUAUAUGUCUUAUAACUUGUGAACAUCUCAUAUAUUCAAUGCAUCUUUGUCUUUGUUUGGUAAAAUAAUAGGUUAGAUAAGGAUGAUACUUGGCAUAUAGAAACUUAACAUCUUUUAAUGUAUGAGAACACUUGAGUGGAUGGUAUUUAUAAAGAUAUUUCUCAUGUCCCUGAGAACUCUCUUUUCCAGACUUCCAUAUUGCCAUUUGUACUUUUAGACAGCAUACUAAUUAUUUGUCACUAAAUCCCCAAAUCUUCUCAUAUGUAUGGAGAUGGGCUGAACUGGUGAAAACGUCUCAACUCUCAAGGACAGUGUCUUAUCAUUAAGGCAAUUUCAGAGAUUCUUAGAUUUUUUUUUUAACAUUUCAUAAGUAGUUAAAAACAAUUUUCUACAAUGUGGCAAAAAUAAGCAGUAGGAUAUGAUCUUGUGUCUUCUCCAUUUCCAUAAAUAUUGUUUGAACAAGAGAAGAACUAGUCAUAUUCCACUUUCCGCUUCUCAAAGUUGUAACCUACUUUGACUUUGUCAUAGAGCCUUCUAUGACAAACUACAAAAAAGGGAUUACUGUAUCUUUAUUAGUAGAAUGAUACAUUAAUAUAUCUUUCUUUCCUCUCUCCCUAAAAUGUUAAGCUUCAUUCAAAAGUCUUAUUUUAAACCACAUGACAUAGGACGCUUCUUCUACCUAAAUUAGGAUCUGAAUGAUACUAUAACUGCAUCCUUGAAAAUAAUCCGAGGCAAAAUCCAUGGUAAAUCCAUGUUUUCUAGAUCACUAAAACAUAGCAUCGAUGCUGUGCUUUCAGGUGAACUUCUACAAAAUGCAAGCAUAUUAUUGAAAUCAAAAAAACCCCAAUGAUUGCAGGGCAGAAAGAGGACUCAUUAGAAUAUGCUCAUGUUGACAAGUUGAAUGAGGGGCUGAAGAUGCUGAAGAAAGUCAGGAAUCCUCUUCUUUAUGUGAAUAUCUGUCUAAAUCUAAUCCUAAGUAUAAACCAGAGUCUAACCUAUCACUCAUUAGCAUUAGUGUCCUCUCCCUCUAGCUACCCACACAUUUUGGUUUUGAUUAUGAAUGUGUCAUUUCUGGGGAUUAUUUUCCCAUUAGAUGUAAUCAUACAUUCUGAACCUUUGCUUAAUUGUCCUGAAAUGUUUGCCAACAAGGAAGAAGAGAAUAGGAUACAUGCCUCCUCUCCCUAAAACACGAAUUACCACCAGGCGUUCACUUUUUCUCUAGCCAGUCCCAUGGUCAGGCCUCUGGAGCAGAGACUGUACACAAACUGCCUGAUUAUGAGGUUCUCGCUCAUCAAAGUGAAAUUUUGCAAAGACAACAUAAGCAGCCUCAAAAUCUGCUGUUCUUGACACACAAACAUGAGCCCUUGGAUCUAGAAGGAACAAGGAGGCUAUAGCAUCUUUAAUAAAGUGGUUGAAGCCAGGGGUUGAAAGAACACAGAGCAUCCCUUUCUUCAGCUGGCAUUCACAACUGUGUCCCUGUCAGCAACUCAGACUCCAGACAGUCAAAACAGAACCCUUGAGUUCGCUUCAUUCCCUCCAAAGCUUGCUGCUCUGCUAGGCAGAGAUCAACAUUUUGGGGAAUUUUUUAAAGUGCUAUUUCUGAAGGCAGAGAGGAGAACAGAGACAUAACUGCACUGCCCCACUGAUUAGUUGGGCUUGCUUUCUUUUGUAAGUCUCUCAGAAACAUGGUGGCCCUCUCUGCAUGGGUUUUUAAAGUGCUUCUGUCUGAAUGCCCUUGGAACACUGAACAACAAAACAAAACAACAACAACAACAAAACAAAGUCUAGGCGGCACGUAGCCAGAUUUGAAUUUAAAAAGUUGCUAAUUUGGGACUCACUUCUCUCCAAUAGAAUUAUACGUGUGUAAGAAUUAUACACACACGGCUGAGGCUUUUCUCUGCUUAAAAAACAUCUGCAGUCAAUUAGAAAUAAGCCUGAGUGUCGUGUUAAUUCUGCAGAACCAAACAAAGUCAUUUUUGUUUAAACUCUUUCAGUGCUGUGAGAAUGAGAGGUUACAGGAGGAGGAAAAAAAAAAAAAAAGCAAUAGAACAAAACUACCCUGUGGCCCUGGAAGGGAGUUGAGGAGGCAAAUAAGAAUUACUUUUCUUUGAGAAUAUGAACCUGGAAAUUUGUUCCAGGAGGAUUCUAUUCUUUCCUAUUUCUCUCUUGGGGUAUGGGGAGUGGGGAGCAAGCCUACCCUUUCUUCUAAAAAGGCAACUUUUAAAAAAGCAAUGAAACAUUCUCCAGAUUCCCUCAAAAUAAAUUUGACCAGUUGAUGUGUUUGGCAAAUGAGUGGUAGCACUUCAUUUUUAAUUUUGUGGAAAGCCAAACAAAUCAAACUAUAUUUGUAGACCAUUGUGUGCAUUUCAAAUCACUGUCAUAGUUGCUAAAUGUGAUUGGUGUUCUGACUUCAGAUAUACUAAAAGCAACCAUUUCCACUGAAAUACUUAUCUUGCCGUGAAUAUCGGUGUUCAUGUCCACCUUUUGUUAACAGCAGUAGCAUUGAUUCCACUGGCACUGGAAUUUAUCUCUCUCAGAGAAGUCUGUGGAUAACCAGAGAUACCAUUUCCACACAACCACACUAGAGCUACAUGUUUUUAGGGUUGAUGGUCUCUAAAUAUAAAAGAGAAUUUCAACUCUUCCUUUGGGCUGAUGCAUUAUUUCUUCUCCAUAUCUCCCCUCCCCUUCCUUCCUUCCUCUUUCUUUUUCAUUUAAAAGUUUCAUUGAAGUGGGAGCUCCUGUCAUGGCGCAGAGGAAACGAAUCUGACUAGGAACCAUGAGGUUGGGGGUUCAAUCCCUAGUCUCUCUCAGUGGAUUAAGGAUUUGGUGUUGCCGUGAGCUGUGAUGUAGGUCACAGAUGUGGCUCAGAUCUGGUGUUGCUGUGGCUGUGGUGUAGGCCAGCGGCUACAGCUCCAAUUAGACUCCUAGCCUAGGAACCUCCAUAUGCCAUGAGUGCAGCCCUAAAAAAAAAAAAAA